rnacentral:rRNA from 1 species
GUAGGUGGCAAGCGUUGUCCGGAAUUAUUGGGCGUAAAGCGCGCGCAGGCGGUUCUUUAAGUCUGAUGUGAAAGCCCACGGGCUCAACCGUGGAGGGUCAUUGGAAACUGGAGAGCUUGAGUACAGAAGAGGAAAGCGGAAUUCCACGUGUAGCGGUGAAAUGCGUAGAGAUGUGGAGGAACACCAGUGGCGAAGGCGGCUUUCUGGUCUGUAACUGACGCUGAGGCGCGAAAGCGUGGGGAGCAACCAGGAUUAGAUACCCUGGUAGUCCACGCCGUAAACGAUGAGUGCUAAGUGUUAGGGGGUUUCCGCCCCUUAGUGCUGCAGCUAACGCAUUAAGCACCCCGCCUGGGGAGUACGGCCGCAAGGCUG